rnacentral:rRNA from 1 species
GCUGCUAUCUGCAGUCGAGCGGACAGAAGGGAGCUUGCUCCCGGAUGUUAGCGGCGGACGGGUGAGUAACACGUGGGUAACCUGCCUGUAAGACUGGGAUAACUCCGGGAAACCGGAGCUAAUACCGGAUAGUUCCUUGAACCGCAUGGUUCAAGGAUGAAAGACGGUUUCGGCUGUCACUUACAGAUGGACCCGCGGCGCAUUAGCUAGUUGGUGGGGUAAUGGCUCACCAAGGCGACGAUGCGUAGCCGACCUGAGAGGGUGAUCGGCCACACUGGGACUGAGACACGGCCCAGACUCCUACGGGAGGCAGCAGUAGGGAAUCUUCCGCAAUGGACGAAAGUCUGACGGAGCAACGCCGCGUGAGUGAUGAAGGUUUUCGGAUCGUAAAGCUCUGUUGUUAGGGAAGAACAAGUGCGAGAGUAACUGCUCGCACCUUGACGGUACCUAACCAGAAAGCCACGGCUAACUACGUGCCAGCAGCCGCGGUAAUACGUAGGUGGCAAGCGUUGUCCGGAAUUAUUGGGCGUAAAGGGCUCGCAGGCGGUUUCUUAAGUCUGAUGUGAAAGCCCCCGGCUCAACCGGGGAGGGUCAUUGGAAACUGGGAAACUUGAGUGCAGAAGAGGAGAGUGGAAUUCCACGUGUAGCGGUGAAAUGCGUAGAGAUGUGGAGGAACACCAGUGGCGAAGGCGACUCUCUGGUCUGUAACUGACGCUGANGAGCGAAAGCGUGGGGAGCGAACAGGAUUAGAUACCCUGGUAGUCCACNCCGUAAACGAUGAGUGCUAAGUGUUAGGGGGGUUUCCGCCCCUUAGUGCUGCAGCUAACGCAUUAAACCACUCCGCCUGGGG